rnacentral:rRNA from 1 species
UGCGUAGGCGGACUAAUAAGUCAGUGGUGAAAUAUUUCGGCUCAACCGAGAAACUGCCAUUGAUACUGUUAGUCUUGAGUUCGGUUGAGGUAGGCGGAAUGUGUAAUGUAGCGGUGAAAUGCUUAGAUAUUACACAGAACACCAAUUGCGUAGGCAGCUUACUAAACCGACACUGACGCUGAGGCACGAAAGCGUGGGGAGCGAACAGGAUUAGAUACCCUGGUAGUCC